rnacentral:rRNA from 1 species
AUUGAACGCUGGCGGCAGGCCUAACACAUGCAAGUCGAACGAGUGGCGGACGGGUGAGUAAUGUCUGGGAAACUGCCUGAUGUAGGGGGAUAACUACUGGAAACGGUAGCUAAUACCGCAUACCAUCGGAUGUGCCCAGAUUGGAUUAGCUAGUAGGUGGGGUAAAGGGUCACCUGGGCGACGAUCCCUAGCUGGUCUGAGAGGAUGACCGGCCACACUGGAACUGAGACACGGUCCAGACACCUACGGGAGGCAGCAGUGGGGAAUAUUGGACAAUGGGCGAAAGCCUGAUGCAGCCAUGCCGCGUGUAUGAAGAAGGCCUUCGGAUUGUAAAGUACUUUCAGCGGGGAAGCGGUACCCGCAGAAGAAGCACCGGCUAACUCCGUGCCAGCAGCCGCGGUAAUUC